rnacentral:rRNA from 1 species
AAUAGAUACCCCGGUAGUCCACGCCGUAAACGAUGAGUGCUAAGUGUUAGAGGGUUUCCGCCCUUUAGUGCUGCAGCUAACGCAUUAAGCACUCCGCCUGGGGAGUACGGUCGCAAGACUGAAACUCAAAGGAAUUGACGGGGGCCCGCACAAGCGGUGGAGCAUGUGGUUUAAUUCGAAGCAACGCGAAGAACCUUACCAGGUCUUGACAUCCUCUGACAACUCUAGAGAUAGAGCGUUCCCCUCCGGGGGACAGAGUGACAGGUGGUGCAUGGUUGUCGUCAGCUCGUGUCGUGAGAUGUUGGGUUAAGUCCCGCAACGAGCGCAACCCUUGACCUUAGUUGCCAGCAUUUAGUUGGGCACUCUAAGGUGACUGCCGGUGACAAACCGGAGGAAGGUGGGGAUGACGUCAAAUCAUCAUGCCCCUUAUGACCUGGGCUACACACGUGCUACAAUGGAUGGUACAAAGGGCUGCAAGACCGCGAGGUCAAGCCAAUCCCAUAAAACCAUUCUCAGUUCGGAUUGUAGG